AGGAGUACAAGGAAAA
rnacentral:sRNA from 1 species